rnacentral:misc_RNA from 1 species
GUCAGAGUCGGUCUUGGAGGCGACACUGAGGAUUUUGAUCGCUGUAAGCAAUGAUGAGAGACCUUCUAUCUUUGGAGAAAGACGGUGGGCUUUCUUGGCGUGUUUAAGAGCAGAUUUGAUAUUGGAGUUGGUGUACUUCGUCUCUGCUAUAGUUUUGAGAACAAGGGCUUCUUCCUUUUGGUCUGGCUUCAUAUCCAUUGCUCCUAACAGAAGGAAGAAGGAAAUGCAGAUCAAGGAGAGAGAGACUCGAUAGUCCUUAUUACUUAAUUUGCUUGCCUGGUUUUG